GACGAACGCUGGCGGCGUGCUUAACACAUGCAAGUCGAACGGAAAGGCCCCUUUGGGGGUACUCGAGUGGCGAACGGGUGAGUAACACGUGAGUAACCUGCCCUUGACUUCGGGAUAACUUCAGGAAACUGGGGCUAAUACCGGAUAGGAAUCCUUGCUGCAUUGUGGGGGUUGGAAAGCUUCGGCGGUUUUGGAUGGACUCGCGGCUUAUCAGCUUGUUGGUGGGGUAGUGGCUUACCAAGGCUUUGACGGGUAGCCGGCCUGAGAGGGCGACCGGCCACAUUGGGACUGAGAUACGGCCCAGAAUCCUACGGGAGGCAGCAGUGGGGAAUAUUGCACAAUGGGCGGAAGCCUGAUGCAGCAACGCCGCGUGCGGGAUGACGGCCUUCGGGUUGUAAACCGCUUUCAGCAGGGGCGAAGCUUGUGGUGACGGUACCUGCAGAAGAAGCACCGGCUAACUACGU
rnacentral:rRNA from 1 species